CAAAAGUGCAGUUUUGCACUAUUCACGUUCAACGUUUGACCGUUCGUCUUAUUUGAAAAUUUUUUAUGAUUUGGUAUUUUUAUUGCUAUUAGAUGAUAAAACAUGAAUAGUACUUUAUGUGUGACUAAAUAUUUUCAAUUUUUUCACAAAAUUUUCAAAUAAGACGGACGGUCAAACGUUGGACAUGAAUAUCCACGGCUGUACUUAUU
rfam:Oryza rufipogon genomic scaffold, chr03